rnacentral:tRNA from 1 species
CAUAGCUCAGUCGGUAGAGCGACGGACUGUUAAUCCGCAGGUCCCUGGUUCGAGCCCAGGUG